GAUGGGGCGAGAAACGAGCAUGAGGACUUCUUUUGGGUGAGCUAGAGGAGCUGCUUGCAAUUCAGUUGGCUCCAGGGGAUCGGCCCACACCCUCACCAGGAAGCAAAGAUCCAAUGGGUAGUACUGUGCUCCAUCCUGUGGCAGUCUUGAGAUAUGCCGGGACCCUGUAACCUUCAACUCGGUCACUUUUCCAACUAAGGAUCUCUGGAUUCUUCCGUUCACCACUGCCAUGUCUGGGAUGAUGAUAAAUCAAUGAAUAUAUGCUGAGAGGCCAUUGAAGACUGAGCAGAAGUAUAACUGCAGAGUGUUAAGUCUAAAAGCCGAGUCAGCUGUGACAGAGGAUGCUGUGCCUCUGCAGCAAAGCAUUAGGACCAAAUUGAGAAACAAAGCAAAGAUGAAUAAAGAAGAAAACAUCGUCACAAAUAGAGGCUAAAUUGGAGCAGAGAAACAUGUGAGCAUAGGAAUCUUAUUCCGAAAGGCAACAGGCAGAGUCGGUUGAUGAUGGAGAAUUAUGAACAUUUGGAAGCGUCGCGACUUUUCAAUGCUUUCGCCAGGGGGUAACAGGAAGUUCCAGUAGAGUCUCUAUGACAAGAAGCAAGGAGGAACCCCUCAUCAUAAACAUCAUAAACAGGAAGCUUAACUCUGCUUCCAGGGAGAGAACUUCAGGUGGUAUGGAUUGUUUUCUUCAAGACUAACUUUCUUAAAGACACAGACUCCUGCUUUAACACCACUCCACACUCACCUGUGUCUUCUUGGAGAGAGCUGUCAUGCUGUGCAGGUGAUUUGGCACCCAGCCAUUUGGAACAGUUUUGUGUCCUUGCUCACUAGUGGCGAGGCAGUAAGGAACCAAAAUUCUCUGGCUGGGGUUUUCUCUGGCACACCUCUAUUGGUGUCUGGAUACUAUCAACCCCCAAGCCCACAGCUGGUAGAGCAGCCAGCUGUGCUGGUGGCAGGGGUGAAUAAGUCCCUGUUUUUGCAAUGUCCCAUGACUAUUUUUGAGUUCCAGUUUCUACACACAAUUCUGCAUACCUAUCCCAAGUCCUAUUCCACCCUUUGAGCCCAUUAUUUGGCUGAUGGAAUCCCCAGUCUUAAAUGGGAUGCAAGUUUCACUCCAUUCAGCCUCCUAAUAAAUUCUCUAUUUCUUUUUAAACGAACUUGUUUCAUUGACAUUCUGCUGGGGGUUGGCACAGAGUAGACAGGCUCUGACAGCACAGCACUAUUUGUUGUGAAUUCUAAGGAAAAGGAAAGUAUAGGAAUCCUGAGGCAAGAAUGUUAGAUGCAGUCUUCUCAAGGUGGCUUUCAGCAGCACCAGGAUUCUGCUGUGAAACAGGCAGGACUUGACAAGCGCCAGCACAGUGCAUAGCUCUGGGGUCAGUUAAGCUCAUACUGCGUUUCUGUCCUGCAUCUCUUUCAGUACUAGUUCUCAUCACAUUUCUCCUUCCCUCCCUACCCACUCAUAUUAUUUGGUUAAAAAAAUAAAAGCAAAGCUAUUAACUCUAAUUCUUGUUGCCCAUGUACUUUAUGGUGUUUGGCUAUCCACUGACGCAUGGGUCAACCUACCUGGAGUCACAUUCUUAAAGACAAGGAUCCAGCCUCUUCCAGCAGACAUCAGUUGCUAGCAGUUAC